CUGCAUAUGAUGAUAUACUCGGAUUCCCCUACACGAUGUAAUGAAUGAUGUAACUCGAGUUUUCUGAUGCG